UUGAUGUGCCGCUGGCGCUGUGUCCCUGGAAUGACUUCCGUCCUUCACUCAGUGGAACGUCAUUUCGUGACAAGUCCAGCAAUCCUCGAUAUCGCAGAUCGUCUUAGUUCUCAAAUUUUAAGGAAGUGCGAAAGAAUACAGUAGGUUGAAGAGGUAAAUAAGAAAUUGUGGAUACACUGAAGAGAGUUCAAUGAAUAGCAUAACGAAGGUUUCUAUGAAGGAAAACGUAAUCAAUGGAAGGAAAAUAUAACUUACCCAGUUGGAGAUCCUCCAUAAGCAGUGGCUACUGAGCUGGCAACUCCGCC